rnacentral:tRNA from 1 species
GGAAGAGUAUCGAAGUGGUCAUAACGGCCCUGACUCGAAAUCAGGUUACCCGCAAGGGUACGUGGGUUCGAAUCCCACCUCUUCCGCCA